CUGGGGAUUUGGCAUUUUUGCAUGGAGUGAAAUACACGAUUUAAUUAUACUAAAAAGGAAAAAAAUAAAAAAAUUAAGGACAGGCCUUCUGCACAAAUUGGAGGCAGUGAAAUGCUCUUUUGUGCCUGCAGCUCUAAGGAGGCUGUGAUGCAUGCGAAGGAAAGCAACUGACUUAACUCAUUGGGAUUCAGGGAACGACCUGCCCUCUUUUGGAAAGAAAAAAAAAUAGAAGAAGGAGAAGGAGAAGAAAACUAUCGGGAGAAACGCAGCGUCUUGGCUCUUUCCUGCAUUUACACAAUGAAAUCACUGCUGUUUUUAUUCCUGCUAACGGGCCGCUUUUGUUUGCAUCCACUCCGAGACAUGGACGAUGGGAACAAAUAAGUGCUUAAGAUCAAAUAGACAAAAAAAAAAAAAAAAAAGAGAGAGAGAAAAAAAAGCCCAACCACGCUGGGAUGCUGGGAUGAGGAUUACUCACUUUAGCUCUGACUGUAAGUACAAAUCUCCUGCUGCAUUUCUGUGAGCUACUGAGAGGCUGUUACGGUUUGGGUUUGGGUUGUUCAGGUUUGGCUUGCUUCUUUGUUGUUCUCUCUCUCUCUCUUUUUAAUAUCAUCGCCUCUUUAUCAGCCCCCUGCUGAGUUACUCAAAUAAGGCAAAAUCCAGGAGAGGAGAGCAGCCCCGCAUAGAGCAGAGCAGAGCGGAGUCAGGAGCAGGAGGCAGGGAGGUAGGGAGGCAGAAGACAAGGGCGGGAGGCAGGGAGGUAAGGAGGUAAGGAGGUAGGAGACAGGAGAUGGGGAGGUAGGGAGGUAGAAGCAGGGAGGCAAAAGGCAGAAGGCAGGAGGCAGACAAGCUGCAGGAGUCCUGCGAUCACAGGCAGCGUGCUGGAAUGUUGGGUCUCGGUGGUGCUGGGGGCACAGGGGUAUUUUCAACAUCAAUUUGUGGGCUUAGCUGGGCUGGAAAGGCGUUUUUCUGACACGAGCCUGUGUGCGCCUGCAUGUGUGCAUACAAAUCCUUAGGCAGCGUGGUCUUGCUUGAGUUUCUUUGGUGCAACGUGAGCGUGCCCAGCUUGAAGGAAUGCGGUGGACAAAACAUCUUUCCAGCUGGUUUUAUUUUGUUUUGUUGGUUUUUUUUUUGGUUCUGAGAUUUUGUUUUUUCCCUCAAGCGUACAAGUGACAGCAGGACUCUUCCCCGGCAGGACUUGAUUUAAAUAACCAAGAUAAAAACUGCCUUACGCUCUCCUCAGCCAGCUGCUUUUCUCCCCCUCCCCUCCUUUCUUCCUUUCUUUACAUAUGUGAGCAUUCCUGGGAAAGCAGAUCGGGCAGAGGGAAAGGCUUUUGAAACGGUGGGGGGAAAUGUAAGAGAAUUCAGAGGGUCCGGGCUUUCUUUGUGUGGUGCUGAAGCCGCGGAGCUGCUUUGUGCUUUGGAAGGAGAAAAUGGCGAGUCCUAUUGUGUUUAGGCCAUUUUCUUCCGGUACAAGGGUUUUCCCCCAAAUCCUAAAUACCUCAGGGCUCUUUUGAAAGAAGUCUCCCAGCCCACGAAGAGUGAAUGGCUGCAGCUCUGCCUUUUCCCCAGCCAGUAAUGCCUCCUGUGAGAGAGAGCCCACAGAUUUCUCCUCACAAGGCGGCUGCACAAUUCCUACAGCCGCUGCCUGCAGAGCCUCUCUCAUAGGAGCAGCAAUUAAAGCUGCUCUUACCACGUUCUUCAGUUCAUGGGGACAGGUUACGGGAAGAAAGGACACUGAAGAAAUAAUGACCUAAGCACUGUCCUUGCUAUAAAAUGCUAAGGAGAAACGUUACCCAGCUAUGGGAGGGGGAAAUUCAUCAGAGAAAAGACUUGUGAACCAUGGAGUGAGGAUCUGACUUACGUAUGAAAUUAUUCGAACUUUAUAUAUAUGUAUAUAUGUGUUUGAGAGAGAGUGCAUGUAUGUGCAUACACAUGCAGCCACACAGAUGGAGAGUACUUUAGGUUAGGAAAGAGGUUGUGGAGAUUUAUUGUGAGGUUUUAGAGCACAUUUAACCAUUGUCGGCAAGUUAUUCCUGCUGUAAUAUGCAAAGAAAAGAGAGUACACAACAUUUCAAGUCACCCUGGAGGCUAUACCCCUUACCGAAAGUCGCCUCUGAAUUUGUACGUUAAUCCGUUUAAGGAAACAAUUGAGAGUCUGAGGUUUUAAGACCGUUGUCAGAUAUUAACCACUUUUCUUUAUAACAUAGGCUUGCCUAGGUGUCAGUGAUUAAAAGCACUUUGUAACCGGGGAGCUAUCAAAUAAACCCCAGGAAAGGCAGAUUCCAGCCCCCUCCCCUUCCGAGGUGCUGAAUAAAGGCAUAUAUCUAUGAUUACUGCUAAUAAUAAUAGAGCUGAAGCAGUCCCUUCGCCCUUGGCGGCAGCUGCCGGCCCUAGCAGCGCCCGGCGCCCGCCCGCCGGUCAGCACCAUGGACAGAGCGCGG
ensembl:lncRNA